rnacentral:rRNA from 1 species
CCUACGGGAUGCAGCAGUGAGGAAUAUUGGUCAAUGGUCGGGAGACUGAACCAGCCAAGCCGCGUGAGGGAGGAAGGUACAGAGUAUCGUAAACCUCUUUUGUCAGGGAACAAAGACUGGGACGCGUCCCCGGAUGAGUGUACCUGAAGAAAAAGCAUCGGCUAACCCCGUGCCAGCAGCCGCGGUACUACGGAGGAUGCGAGCGUUAUCCGGAUUUCUUGGGUUUAAAGGGUGCGAGGGGGGUCUGUUAUGUCAGCGGUCAAAGCCCGGGGCUAAACCUCGGCCCGCCGUUGAAACUGGCAGUCUCGAGUGGGAGAGAGGGAGGCGGAAUGCGCAGUGUAGCGGUGAAAUGCAUAGAUA